rnacentral:rRNA from 1 species
UGGGGAAUUUUGGACAAUGGGCGAAAGCCUGAUCCAGCAAUGCCGCGUGUGUGAAGAAGGCCUUCGGGUUGUAAAGCACUUUUGUCCGGAAAGAAAUCCUUGGCUCUAAUACAGUCGGGGGAUGACGGUACCGGAAGAAUAAGCACCGGCUAACUACGUGCCAGCAGCCGCGGUAAUACGUAGGGUGCAAGCGUUAAUCGGAAUUACUGGGCGUAAAGCGUGCGCAGGCGGUUUGCUAAGACCGAUGUGAAAUCCCCGGGCUCAACCUGGGAACUGCAUUGGUGACUGGCAGGCUAGAGUAUGGCAGAGGGGGGUAGAAUUCCACGUGUAGCAGUGAAAUGCGUAGAGAUGUGGAGGAAUACCGAUGGCGAAGGCAGCCCCCUGGGCCAAUACUGACGCUCAUGCACGAAAAGCGUGGGGAGCAAAACAGGAUUAGAUACCCUGGUAGUCCACGCCCUAAACGAUGUCAACUAGUUGUUGGGGAUUCAUUUCCUUAGUAACGUAGCUAACGCGUGAAGUU